rnacentral:rRNA from 1 species
CAAUAGCGUAUAUUAAAGUUGUUGCAGUUAAAAAGCUCGUAGUUGGACCUUGGACCUGGACAGGCGGUCCGCCUCACGGCGUGUACUGUCUUGCUGGGUCUUUCCUCUUGGUGAUCUGUUGUUUCGGCAGCAGGGAACCAGGACCUUUACUUUGAAAAAAUUAGAGUGUUCAAAGCAGGCUCGACGCCGGAAUAUAUUAGCAUGGAAUAAUAAAAUAGGACGUGCGGUUCUAUUUUGUUGGUUUUUGGAAUCGCCGUAAUGAUUAAUAGGGACAGUCGGGGGCAUUAGUACUCACAUGCUAGAGGUGAAAUUCUUGGAUUUUGUGAAGACUAACUUCUGCGAAAGCAUUUGCCAAGGAUGUUUUCAUUAA